rnacentral:rRNA from 1 species
UACGAGUGCCUCGAGCGUUAUCCGGAAUUAUUGGGCGUAAAGGGUGUGUAGGUGGCAGUGUUAGUCUUGCGUUAAAUCUAUCGGCUCAACCGAUAGGCUGCGUGGGAAACGGCACAGCUAAGAGGAUGGUAGGGGUCUGCGGAACUCAUAGUGUAGCGGUAAAAUGCGUUGAUAUUAUGGGGAACACCAAAAGCGAAGGCAGCAGACUGGACCACUCCUGACACUGAAACACGAAAGCGUGGGUCGCGAAUGGG